ensembl:antisense uncharacterized LOC110328750
UUUUCUGUUUCAUAAGGUGAAGCUGCCAGACUGCUUUGAGUACUAGUAGGAACUCUGAAUUUGGACUUUUGAGUGACACUAGAUCUUUUAAACCAUUGGCUUCUCUUGAAGUUGAACUAGAUGCAUUUUCUAGGUAGAAUCAACUGGAAAGUGAAUCUCAACUGAGAAAAUGUCUUCAUCGGGUUGGUGUACAGACAUGCUGUGGGGCAUUUUAAUUGCUGAUAUGGAGGGUCCAGCUCACUUGAACAGUGACAUCCCAGCAAGAUGGUCCCCGGUAUUAGGUCUGAAAGAUGAGGUCUGUCUGGGACUUGUGUCUGCCGAGGCAUUAAUCCAUAGCACCCCCUGAGAGCCUGACCUUCACUUGGCUGCUGAGCUCACCAGAGCGCAAUCAGCCAUGUGAUCGUCCUUGAGGACAAAGAGGCACCUUGUGAUUAAACAUCACACACCUUGAGAUGGAGUGAUCAGCCUAACAACCUUGAAGUCUCCCACCAUUUUUCACCGAGGAAAUAAUGAACACACACAUCAUGAAGAACUAACGCAGCGAGGAGAGCAACACCCCUCACUUUAAGAAGUCUAGACUCCGAAAUAUGAAUGUCUUUGUCCCCAAAUAUGCCAGCUGGGAGCUAUGCUCAUCAAUCACUUCAGAAAUGUUUUCUUCCAAAUAAACGACCUCUCAUACUAGGCCA